UUAGAUCAUUGUAAUUAGGGAGGUUAGCACAUGAGCCAUUGAUCAAAUCUCAUUCCUUGAAAAUUGAUACACGCGCAUAGGAAAACAAAACAGCUGCUGAUAACAAAACACAACACACGCGUUUUCUCUUUCCCAAAACAAGCACGCCUUUCUUCUUCUUCCUCUUAUCAUCGUCACCACCGCCAACCCUCUCCGCCCCAUCCAUAGGAAACCAAGCAUCUCACCAUCUCCUCUUCACACUCCACCCAAACAGACUCCUUUGAUUCUAACCAUGAAAGAAGCAAGUAUGAGUAAUAGUGAGUGUAGCAGUAUGUUUCAAUCACAUUUAAGUAGGUUUACUUUAUAUUUAUAACUCUGUCAUGCUUCCAAAACAUUUUAAAUUUUACUUUUCAUCAUUCAAAUUGUUUGAAGUCUAUAGUCUAUCUGACAUGACAUGAGAGAUAAAUUUAUUUGUGAAAUUGUCUCCACUCUUUUUACAUUCUUCAAUGAACUCUUUAACAAGUUACUUGCCAAUUAUGUUUCAAUUUGUAGCAGAUGUUAUUGGAAGUUUAUGCGUCGUUCAAAACCACUUAUGUAAAAUACAUGGUGGUGAAUCCGUUGGUAGAUUUGAAGGGCAUAUUACUAAGGUGGGUUGCGUGGGGCUGGGAGCUUUUUCCUGCUACUGUUUUGCUGCAGAUUGAUAAGUAUCUCAUCGAGGCUUGGUGCGGAAGACUUAUUCAUGCUGUGCAUUUUUUUUGUAUAGUCUGCCUGUGGUGUGUUUAAGGGAUGGUAGUGAGGCUUUUGUAUGCUUGGCAAUGUUAGGUGGUUAGUUUAUGAUAGCUAGCUUCAAUUUGGUCAUUUGCCACUAAAACAGAUUUCAAUAUUCUCCCCUCAUGUAUCUCAAUCCUUUAUAUCUAAUCCUAGCAAACAUGCUUACCCUAAUUUCCAAACCCUUAACCUACUUUUUUGGCUCCAAACUAUCCAGACCGUUAGAUCAUUGUAAUUAGGGGAGGUUAGCACAUGAGCCAUUGAUCAAAUCUCAUUCCUUGAAAAUUGAUACACGCGCAUAGGAAAACAAAACAGCUGCUGAUAACAAAACACAACACACGCGUUUUCUCUUUCCCAAAACAAGCACGCCUUUCUUCUUCUUCCUCUUAUCAUCGUCACCACCGCCAACCCUCUCCGCCCCAUCCAUAGGAAACCAAGCAUCUCACCAUCUCCUCUUCACACUCCACCCAAACAGACUCCUUUGAUUCUAACCAUGAAAGAAGCAAGUAUGAGUAAUAGUGAGUGUAGCAGUAUGUUUCAAUCACAUUUAAAUGUUAUUGGAAGUUUAUGCGUCGUUCAAAACCACUUAUGUAAAAUACAUGGUGGUGAAUCCGUUGGUAGAUUUGAAGGGCAUAUUACUAAGGUGGGUUGCGUGGGGCUGGGAGCUUUUUCCUGCUACUGUUUUGCUGCAGAUUGAUAAGUAUCUCAUCGAGGCUUGGUGCGGAAGACUUAUUCAUGCUGUGCAUUUUUUUUGUAUAGUCUGCCUGUGGUGUGUUUAAGGGAUGGUAGUGAGGCUUUUGUAUGCUUGGCAAUGUUAGGUGGUUAGUUUAUGAUAGCUAGCUUCAAUUUGGUCAUUUGCCACUAAAACAGAUUUCAAUAUUCUCCCCUCAUGUAUCUCAAUCCUUUAUAUCUAAUCCUAGCAAACAUGCUUACCCUAAUUUCCAAACCCUUAACCUACUUUUUUGGCUCCAAACUAUCCAGACCGUUAGAUCAUUGUAAUUAGGGGAGGUUAGCACAUGAGCCAUUGAUCAAAUCUCAUUCCUUGAAAAUUGAUACACGCGCAUAGGAAAACAAAACAGCUGCUGAUAACAAAACACAACACACGCGUUUUCUCUUUCCCAAAACAAGCACGCCUUUCUUCUUCUUCCUCUUAUCAUCGUCACCACCGCCAACCCUCUCCGCCCCAUCCAUAGGAAACCAAGCAUCUCACCAUCUCCUCUUCACACUCCACCCAAACAGACUCCUUUGAUUCUAACCAUGAAAGAAGCAAGUAUGAGUAAUAGUGAGUGUAGCAGUAUGUUUCAAUCACAUUUAAGUAGGUUUACUUUAUAUUUAUAACUCUGUCAUGCUUCCAAAACAUUUUAAAUUUUACUUUUCAUCAUUCAAAUUGUUUGAAGUCUAUAGUCUAUCUGACAUGACAUGAGAGAUAAAUUUAUUUGUGAAAUUGUCUCCACUCUUUUUACAUUCUUCAAUGAACUCUUUAACAAGUUACUUGCCAAUUAUGUUUCAAUUUGUAGCAGAUGUUAUUGGAAGUUUAUGCGUCGUUCAAAACCACUUAUGUAAAAUACAUGGUGGUGAAUCCGUUGGUAGAUUUGAAGGGCAUAUUACUAAGGUGGGUUGCGUGGGGCUGGGAGCUUUUUCCUGCUACUGUUUUGCUGCAGAUUGAUAAGUAUCUCAUCGAGGCUUGGUGCGGAAGACUUAUUCAUGCUGUGCAUUUUUUUUGUAUAGUCUGCCUGUGGUGUGUUUAAGGGAUGGUAGUGAGGCUUUUGUAUGCUUGGCAAUGUUAGGUGGUUAGUUUAUGAUAGCUAGCUUCAAUUUGGUCAUUUGCCACUAAAACAGAUUUCAAUAUUCUCCCCUCAUGUAUCUCAAUCCU